rnacentral:tRNA from 4 species
ACCCCUGUGAUGUAAUUGGAAAACAUCAUCGAAUCAGAAUCGAUGUUUUGUAGGUUCAAAUCCUAUCGGGGGUA